CUAGGUGACACGCAGGGGUUCACAGCUGAGGGGGGCACGCGCUAGGUGACACGCAGGGGUUCACAGCUGAGUUGGGCACGCGCUAGGUGACACGCAGGGGUUCGCAGCUGAGGCAGGCACGCGCUAGGUGACACGCAGGGGUUCGCAGCUGAGGCGGGCACGCGCUAGGUGACACGCAGGGGUUCGCAGCUGAGGCAGGCACGCGCUAGGUGACACGCAGGGGUUCACAGCUGAGGCGGGCACACGCCAGGUGACACGCAGGGGUUCGCAGCUGAGGCGGGCACGCGCCAGGUGACACGCAGGGGUUCACAGCUGAGGCGGGCACAUGCUAGGUGACACGCAGGGGUUCGCAGCUGAGGCGGGCACGCGCCAGGUGACACACAGGGGUUCGCAGCUGAGGCGGGCACGCGCCAGGUGACACGCAGGGGUUCGCAGCUGAGGCGGGCACGCGCUUGUCCAGGCACCCAGGCAGCUAAGAGAGGCUCCUGUGGUGGGACUGGAAGGCCCACACCAUGCGCGAACAGCACGCCUGGGCUCUGAGCCUGGUCCA